rnacentral:rRNA from 2 species
UCCCGGGCCUUGUACACACCGCCCGUCACACCAUGGGAGUGGGUUGCAAAAGAAGUAGGUAGCUUAACCUUCGGGAGGGCGCUUACCACUUUGUGAUUCAUGACUGGGGUGAAGUCGUAACAAGGUAACCGUAGGGGAACCUGCGGUUGGAUCACCUCCUUACCUUAAAGAAGC